AAAAACUACUAGGGGUGCCCUUACGGGCUGAGAUGAGUGAAGACUCAAACUCUUGAACCUGAUCUGGUUUAUACCAGCGGAGGAAAGUAGAUGAUGCAGUGU
rnacentral:ncRNA from 2 species